UAAACGGUAGGGUAUUGGCCUACCGUGGCAAUGACGGGUAACGGGGAAUUAGGGUUCGAUUCCGGAGAGGGAGCCUGAGAAACGGCUACCACAUCUAAGGAAGGCAGCAGGCGCGCAAAUUACCCAAUCCUAAUACAGGGAGGUAGUGACAAGAAAUAACAAUACAGGACUUUUUGGCAUCCCAAGGGUAAUGCGGCCGAAAAACCA
rnacentral:rRNA from 1 species